rnacentral:rRNA from 1 species
GUGGGGAAUAUUGGACAAUGGGCGGAAGCCUGAUCCAGCCAUGCCGCGUGUGUGAAGAAGGCCUUUUGGUUGUAAAGCACUUUAAGCGAGGAGGAGGCUCCUUUAGUUAAUACCUAAAGUGAGUGGACGUUACUCGCAGAAUAAGCACCGGCUAACUCUGUGCCAGCAGCCGCGGUAAUACAGAGGGUGCGAGCGUUAAUCGGAUUUACUGGGCGUAAAGCGUGCGUAGGCGGCUUUUUAAGUCGGAUGUGAAAUCCCUGAGCUUAACUUAGGAAUUGCAUUCGAUACUGGGAAGCUAGAGUAUGGGAGAGGAUGGUAGAAUUCCAGGUGUAGCGGUGAAAUGCGUAGAGAUCUGGAGGAAUACCGAUGGCGAAGGCAGCCAUCUGGCCUAAUACUGACGCUGAGGUACGAAAGCAUGGGGAGCAAACAGGAUUAGAUACCCCAGUAGUCC